GAGGAAUAUUGGUCAAUGGACGAAAGUCUGAACCAGCCAUGCCGCGUGCAGGAUGAAUGCCCUAUGGGUUGUAAACUGCUUUUAUGUAGGAAUAAACCCCCUCUCGUGAGAGGGGCUGAAGGUACUACAAGAAUAAGGACCGGCUAACUCCGUGCCAGCAGCCGCGGUAAUACGGAGGGUCCAAGCGUUAUCCGGAUUUAUUGGGUUUAAAGGGUCCGCAGGCGGGAAAAUAAGUCAGUGGUGAAAUCCUAUCGCUUAACGAUAGAACUGCCAUUGAUACUGUUUUUCUUGAGUGUAAUUGAAGUGGGCGGAAUGUGUCAUGUAGCGGUGAAAUGCAUAGAUAUGACACAGAACACCGAUUGCGAAGGCAGCUCACUAAAUUAUUACUGACGCUCAGGGACGAAAGCGUGGGGAGCAAAC
rnacentral:rRNA from 1 species